rnacentral:lncRNA from 1 species
UGGGGGGGAGAGAGACCCUAAAAAUGGGGGGAAAGACCACAAAAAUGGGGAAGAGACCCCAAAAAUGCGUGAGAGAGACCCCAAAUGAGGGGGGAGACCCCAAAAAUGGGGGAAAAGACCCCAAAAAUGGGGGAGAGACCCCAAAAAAUCCCAGAUCCCCCCAAAAUCCCAGAGACCCCCCAGGAGCACCUGAAAACCCCCCCAAGGCCUCCCCAAAUCCCCCCAGCCCCAAAACAGCCCCAGGGUCAGAGGUCAGGGGUCACUCGGGGUCACUCAGGGGUCACACAGGGGUCACUCAGGGUCACUCAUUGGUCACGCUGGGGUCACUCGGGGUCACUCAGGGGUCACUCAGGGUCACUCAUUGGUCACUCAGGGGUCACUCAGGGUCAGUCAGGGGUCACUCAGGGUCACUCAUUGGUCACUCAGGGUCACUCAGGGGUCACUCAUUGGUCACUCAGGGUCACUCAUUGGUCACUCAUUGGUCUCUCAGGGGUCACUCAGGGGUCACUCAGGGUCACUCAGGGGUCAGGGGUCACUCAGGGGUCAGGGGUCACUCGGGGUCAGGGGUCACCUGGCCGCUGUUGGUGGCAGCGUGGUGGGCCGAGCAGGUGAAGAUGACGGUGGUGACGAAGGUGACGAGGCCGCGGCGCGACUCCAGCCGGGAGGGCACCCCUGGGAGGGGCAGGGGGCACCCGGGGUCACCCAGGGGUCACCCGGGGUCACUCAGGGGGCACCCGGGGUCACUCAGGGGUCACCCGGGGUCACUCAGGGGGCACCCGGGGUCACUCAGGGGUCACCUGGGGUCACUCAGGGGGCACCCGGGGUCACUCAGGGGUCACCUGGGGUCACUCAGGGGGCACCCGGGGUCACUCAGGGGUCACCUGGGGUCACUCAGGGGUCACCUGGGGUCACUCAGGGGGCACCCGGGGUCACCCACCUCUCCCCCUCAAUCCCCCCCCGGUGCCCACCCGAGCCCCUCAAUCCCCC